rnacentral:rRNA from 1 species
CGUAGGGUGCGAGCGUUAAUCGGAAUUACUGGGCGUAAAGGGUGCGCAGGCGGUUAUGAAAGACAGGCGUGAAAUCCCCGGGCUUAACCUGGGAACUGCGUUUGUGACUACAUGACUCGAGUACGGCGAGGGGGUGGAAUUCCACGUGUAGCAGUGAAAUGCGUAGAGAUGUGGAGGAACACCGAUGGCGAAGGCAGCCCCCUGGGCCAGUACUGACGCUCAUGCACGAAAGCGUGGGGAGCAAACAGGAUUAGAUACCCUGGUAGUCCACGCCCUAAACGAUGUCAACUAGUUGUUGGUAGGGUAAAACCUAUUAGUAACGUAGCUAACGCGUGAAGUUGACCGCCUGGGGAGUACGGCCGCAAGGUUA